AAAGGUGCAUGAGUGGUGUUUGGUUUGUUACGCGUGGUUGGCUGUUUGCGUUUGCAACAACGUCCACGCUUUCAAACCACUUCAGUUGUGCGACAAGGCUUGUAUCGCCUUGGCGUCUGGGGGGUUUCUGGGGUUGCAUAACCUAACCACCGGGAUCGGUUAAAAAGAUCAUAGUCCCAUUUCGUCUUGUGUCGCAUUUGUGAACGUGGGGUGAACCUUCCGGUGAUUUUUUUGAUCCCACCUGGUUUCCAUACGGCACGCGUUGUUGGCAUUGUGGCUCAUUGAGAGUUUGUUGGGUUCUUGGAUUCGGAAUCCGUAAGCAGGCACUGUUUAGGGUCCUUGUUUUUCCCUCUAUAAUUUUUAAAAAACCAAAUUUUCCUGUUAUGGCAUUGGUCGUGGGGGUAGGCUAUAUCGAAUAUGAAUGCUACCUGGUUGAUCCUGCCAGUAGUCAUAU
rnacentral:misc_RNA from 1 species